rnacentral:rRNA from 1 species
AACGCUGGCGGCAUGCCUUACCAUGCAAGUCGAACGGCAGCGCGGACUUUCGGUCUGGCGGCGAGUGGCGAACGGGUGAGUAAUGUAUCGGAACGUACCAUUCAGUGGGGGAUAACGCAGCGAAAGUUGCGCUAAUACCGCAUAUUCUGUGCGCAGGAAAGCAGGGGAUCGCAAGACCUUGCGCUGAUUGAGCGGCCGAUAUCAGAUUAGCUAGUUGGUGAGGUAAAGGCUCACCAAGGCGACGAUCUGUAGCGGGUCUGAGAGGAUGAUCCGCCACACUGGAACUGAGACACGGUCCAGACUCCUACGGGAGGCAGCAGUGGGGAAUUUUGGACAAUGGGCGCAAGCCUGAUCCAGCCAUGCCGCGUGAGUGAAGAAGGCCUUCGGGUUGUAAAGCUCUUUCGGCCGGGAAGAAAUCGUAUGGGUUAAUACCCUGUGCGGAUGACGGUACCGGCAUAAGAAGCACCGGCUAACUACGUG